rnacentral:rRNA from 1 species
UUUAUCAAAAACAUCUUUUCUUGUUAGUUUUUGAAGUAUGGCCUGCCCACUGACUUAUUUGUUGAAGGGCCGCGGUAUUUUGACCGUGCAAAGGUAGCAUAAUCAUUAGUUCUUUAAUUGUGAUCUGGUAUGAAUGGCUUGACGAGGUAUAAUCUGUCUUAGAGGUGUUUUUGAUUGAAUUUAGUUUUUGAGUUAAAAUUCUUAGAUGUUUUUAUGGGACGAGAAGACCCUAUAGAGUUUUACAUUUGUUUUUACAUUUUUUUAAUUGUUUGUCUUUAUUAUAUUGUGGAUUGAAUGUUUUGUUGGGGUGAUGAGAGGAAUUUUUUUAACUCCUCUUUUUUUUAUAUACUCAUUUGUAUUUUUUUGAUCCAUUUGUUUUGAUUAUAAGAUUAAAUUACCUUAGGGAUAACAGCGUUAUCUUCCUUGAGAGUUCUUAUUGGCGGGGAGGUUUGCGACCUCGAUGUUGGAUUAAGGUGAAUUUUCGGUGCAGAAGCUGAAAUUGAUUAGGUCUGUUCGACCUUUAAAAUCUUACGUGAUCUG